rnacentral:rRNA from 1 species
GCUUACAGCAAUACCAGCCUGUCUGAGCCUGAUCUCGUCUGAUCUCUGAAGCUAAGCAGGCUAGGGCCUGGUUAGUACUUGGAUGGGAGACUAACUGGGAAUACCAGGUGCUGUAAGCU